AGUGUGAGGGGGAUCUGGCUGCGACAUCUGUCACCCCAUUGAUUGCCACGUUGAUUUGGCUGACAUGGCUGACCAGGCAGGUGUUCCCUUCCUCCCUCACCGAUCUGUGUAUGUACCUCCUAAAGUUGCACGCUCAGUCGAAGAGGACGACCAUCCCCACUAAAGAAGGAUAGUUGUUCAUUCAAGGGUAUAUGAGGAACUGUGCCCCCUGCUGGAACCUCAAAACGAGCUCUCAAAAAUAACUAAUAAAUAAUCUGGAAUAAAAUGUAUUCCUUGACAUCAUGGAUACCCGCUGGCAGGGCCUGAAGUCA
rnacentral:snRNA from 1 species